rnacentral:rRNA from 1 species
GCUCCAAUAGCGUAUAUUAAAGUUGUUGCAGUUAAAAAGCUCGUAGUUGAAUCUUGGGAACGGGUGGGCUAGCGAGCCACAGCCUGUCCUGCUUCUUGCCUCUCGGUGCCCCCUGGAUGCUCUUAGCUGAGUGUCCUGCGGCCGAAGCGUUUACUUUGAAAAAAUUAGAGUGUUCAAAGCAGGCCAAGCCGCCUGGAUAC